rnacentral:misc_RNA from 1 species
UUUCCGUAGGUGAACCUGCGGAAGGAUCAUUGUUGGAUUUUGAAACUUCAGGCUGCUGCUGGCUCUCCUCGGCGGGCAUGUGCACGCUUGUUGUCCAUUAUUUCUCCCACUGUGCACAAAUUGUAGACCUUUCAGUAGGCCUAUGUUGUUUUUCACAAUCCCUGAAUGUAAUAGAAUGGUUUUGAAUCUUGGGAAAUACAAUACAACUUUCAGCAACGGAUCUCUUGGCUCUC